rnacentral:tRNA from 1 species
GGAGUUUAAGGGGCCACCUCAUGGCGAGGUUUCCGUGCUUGACACUCGGAAAUGAGGGGUUCGAUUCCCCUUGGCUCCA